AAGCGGCGAACGGGUGAGUAACACGUGAGCAACCUGCCCUAGGCUUUGGGAUAACCCCGGGAAACCGGGGCUAAUACCGAAUAUUACCACCGGGCGCAUGUUUGGUGGUGGAAAGUUUUUCGGCCUGGGAUGGGCUCGCGGCCUAUCACCUUGUUGGUGGGGUAAUGGCCUACCAAGGCGACGACGGGUAGCCGGCCUGAGAGGGCGACCGGCCACACUGGGACUGAGACACGGCCCAGACUCCUACGGGAGGCAGCAGUGGGGAAUAUUGCACAAUGGGCGGAAGCCUGAUGCAGCGACGCCGCGUGAGGGAUGACGGCCUUCGGGUUGUAAACCUCUUUCAGCAGGGACGAAGCGAAAGUGACGGUACCUGCAGAAGAAGCGCCGGCCAACUACGUGCCAGCAGCCGCGGUAAGACGUAGGGCGCGAGCGUUGUCCCGGAUUUAUUGGGCGUAAAGAGCUCGUAGGCGGCUUGUCGCGUCGACUGUGAAAACCCCG
rnacentral:rRNA from 1 species